GACGUAGGGCGCGAGCGUUGUCCGGAUUUAUUGGGCGUAAAGAGCUCGUAGGCGGCUUGUCGCGUCGACUGUGAAAUCCCGCGGCUCAACUGCGGGUCUGCAGUCGAUACGGGCAGGCUAGAGUUCGGUAGGGGAGACUGGAAUUCCUGGUGUAGCGGUGAAAUGAUGCAGAUAUCAGGAGGAACACCGGUGGCGAAGGCGGGUCUCUGGGCCGAUACUGACGCUGAGGAGCGAAAGCGUGGGGAGCGAACAGG
rnacentral:rRNA from 1 species